rnacentral:misc_RNA from 1 species
AAGUACAACCACAUCAAUUUCUCAGGCCUGUAAUGAUCCAGCUAAUGUGGUUGUUUCUUCUUCUGUUGUUUCUCAGUGGAAACCAUCUGAGCCCUCAUGUGAUUCUGUUGUGACAAAUCCAGCCUCUCAAGUGGGUUCUAUUGGGAGCCCACCUCUUACAAAUUCAGCUGGAAGUGAGGCAGUGGCAUCUGUCAACCAGGGUUUAGGCCAGAGGCAGUUAUCAGCAGGCUUGCCCCAACAUGGGAGUGCUGGAGCACAGUGGCAGGAGCAGCCACAGUUAUUCCAAUCAAGACUGCGAGAACCCCCCCCCCUCGUCUCAACAACUGUUUCAGGUACAAGAGCUGCAGCGGCAGCAGGAACAGCAGUCACCUCGGCAACAGUACUCUCAGCAGCAAACACAGCAUCUUCAAUCAGCACAAGGAAGUAUUUAUAUCAGGUCUCCCAAUUCUCAGCUGGAAUGAAGCAAUCUAACAGAUUGAGCUGUUCCUGAACCAGAUGGUGCUGCUAAGACUUGGGUUUGCAUGCCCUUAUAGCAGCAAUGUACAGGUAUUCGUCUCCCCUCGACCCCCA